CCCGGGCCUUGUACACACCGCCCGUCACACCAUGGAAGCCGGUAACACCCGAAGCCGGUGGCCUAACCCGCAAGGGAGGGAGCUGUCGAGCGUAGGGUUCGCGAUUGGACG
rnacentral:rRNA from 1 species